rnacentral:rRNA from 1 species
GCAGUAGCCGCGGGAAAACGGAGGGUGCAAGCGUUAAUCGGAAUUACUGGGCGUAAAGCGCACGCAGGCGGUCUGUCAAGUCAGAUGUGAAAUCCCCGGGCUUAACCUGGGAACUGCAUUUGAAACUGGCAGGCUAGAGUCUUGUAGAGGGGGGUAGAAUUCCAGGUGUAGCGGUGAAAUGCGUAGAGAUCUGGAGGAAUACCGGUGGCGAAGGCGGCCCCCUGGACAAAGACUGACGCUCAGGUGCGAAAGCGUGGGGAGCAAACAGGAUUAGAUACCCCUGUAGUCCCUGUCUCUUAUAA